rnacentral:rRNA from 1 species
AGAGUUUGAUCCUGGCUCAGAAUGAACGCUGGCGGCGUGUUUAAGACAUGCAAGUCGCACGGGGGAAUGUGAGUAGCAAUACAAGCAUUCUUCAGUGGCGCACGGGUGCGUAACACGUGAGUUACAUGCCCUGCAGAGGGGGAUAGCCCAGGGAAACUUGGAUUAAUACCCCAUGGUCUCGCAAGAGUAAAGGUGGCGCAAGCUGCCGCUGCAGGAUUGGCUCGCGGCCUAUCAGCUAGUUGGUGAGGUAACGGCUCACCAAGGCUACGACGGGUACCUGGUCUGAGAGGACGAUCAGGCACACUGGAACUGAGACACGGUCCAGACACCUACGGGUGGCAGCAGUCGAGAAUCAUUCACAAUGGGGGCAACCCUGAUGGUGCAACGCCGCGUGGAGGAUGAAGGUCUUCGGAUUGUAAACUCCUGUCAUCUAGGAGCAAGGCAUGGUGGUGAAUAGCCAACAUGAUUGAUAGUACUAGAAGAGGAAGGGACGGCUAACUUCGUGCCAGCAGCCGCGGUAAUACGAAGGUCCCGAGCGUUAUUCGGAAUCACUGGGCGUAAAGGGAGCGUAGGCGGCGUGGAAAGUCAGAUGUGAAAUCCCGGGGCUCAACCCCGGAACUGCAUCCGAUACUACCAUGCUAGAGUAUUGGAGGGGUAACUGGAAUUCUCGGUGUAGCAGUGAAAUGCGUGGAUAUCGAGAGGAACACCUGUGGCGAAAGCGAGUUACUGGACAAUUACUGACGCUGAGGCUCGAAAGGCUAGGGGAGCAAAAGGGAUUAGAUACCCCUGUAGUCCUAGCA